rnacentral:rRNA from 1 species
GGGUUGUGAGGUUAAGUGACUAAGCGUACACGGUGGAUGCCUAGGCAGUCAGAGGCGAUGAAGGGCGUGCUAAUCUGCGAAAAGCGUCGGUAAGGUGAUAUGAACCGUUACAACCGGCGAUACCCGAAUGGGGAAACCCAGUGUGUUUCGACACACUAUCAUGUCAUGAAUACAUAGUGGCAUGAGGCGAACCGGGGGAACUGAAACAUCUAAGUACCCCGAGGAAAAGAAAUCAACCGAGAUUCCCCCAGUAGCGGCGAGCGAACGGGGAGGAGCCCAGAACCUGAAUCGGCUUGUGUGUUAGUGGAAGCGUCUGGAAAGUCGCGCAGUAAAGGGUGAUAGCCCCGUACACUAAAAUGCACAGGUCGUGAGUUCGAUGAGUAGGGCGGGACACGUGACAUCCUGUCUGAAUAUGGGGGGACCAUCCUCCAAGGCUAAAUACUCCUGACUGACCGAUAGUGAACCAGUACCGUGAGGGAAAGGCGAAAAGAACCCCGGCGAGGGGAGUGAAAUAGAACCUGAAACCGUGUACGUACAAGCAGUGGGAGCACCUUCGUGGUGUGACUGCGUACCUUUUGUAUAAUGGGUCAGCGACUUAUAUUUUGUAGCAAGGUUAACCGUAUAGGGGAGCCGUAGGGAAACCGAGUCUUAACUGGGCGAAUAGUUGCAAGGUAUAGACCCGAAACCCGGUGAUCUAGCCAUGGGCAGGUUGAAGGUUGGGUAACACUAACUGGAGGACCGAACCGACUAAUGUUGAAAAAUUAGCGGAUGACUUGUGGCUGGGGGUGAAAGGCCAAUCAAACCGGGAGAUAGCUGGUUCUCCCCGAAAGCUAUUUAGGUAGCGCCUCGUGAACUCAUCUUCGGGGGUAGAGCACUGUUUCGGCUAGGGGGCCAUCCCGGCUUACCAAACCGAUGCAAACUCCGAAUACCGAAGAAUGUUAUCACGGGAGACACACGGCGGGUGCUAACGUCCGUCGUGAAGAGGGAAACAACCCAGACCGCCAGCUAAGGUCCCAAAGUCAUGGUUAAGUGGGAAACGAUGUGGGAAGGCAUAGACAGCCAGGAUGUUGGCUUAGAAGCAGCCAUCAUUUAAAGAAAGCGUAAUAGCUCACUGGUCGAGUCGGCCUGCGCGGAAGAUGUAACGGGGCUAAACCAUGCACCGAAGCUGCGGCAGCGACGCUUAGGCGUUGUUGGGUAGGGGAGCGUUCUGUAAGCCGUUGAAGGUGGCCUGUGAGGGUUGCUGGAGGUAUCAGAAGUGCGAAUGCUGACAUAAGUAACGAUAAAGCGGGUGAAAAGCCCGCUCGCCGGAAGACCAAGGGUUCCUGUCCAACGUUAAUCGGGGCAGGGUGAGUCGACCCCUAAGGCGAGGCUGAAAAGCGUAGUCGAUGGGAAACAGGUUAAUAUUCCUGUACUUGGUGUUACUGCGAAGGGGGGACGGAGAAGGCUAGGCUAGCCGGGCGACGGUUGUCCCGGUUUAAGCGUGUAGGGGGUGUGACCUGGUAAAUCCGGUUACAUAUCAACCCUGAGGCGUGAUGACGAUGCACUACGGUGCAGAAGUAGUUGAUGCCCUGCUUCCAGGAAAAGCCUCUAAGCAUCAGGUAACAUUGAAUCGUACCCCAAACCGACACAGGUGGUCAGGUAGAGAAUACCAAGGCGCUUGAGAGAACUCGGGUGAAGGAACUAGGCAAAAUGGUGCCGUAACUUCGGGAGAAGGCACGCUGGCAUGUAGGUGAAGUCCUUCGCGGAUGGAGCUGAAGCCAGUCGAAGAUACCAGCUGGCUGCAACUGUUUAAUAAAAACACAGCACUGUGCAAACACGAAAGUGGACGUAUACGGUGUGACGCCUGCCCGGUGCUGGAAGGUUAAUUGAUGGGGUCAGCCGCAAGGCGAAGCUCUUGAUCGAAGCCCCAGUAAACGGCGGCCGUAACUAUAACGGUCCUAAGGUAGCGAAAUUCCUUGUCGGGUAAGUUCCGACCUGCACGAAUGGCGUAAUGAUGGCCAGGCUGUCUCCACCCGAGACUCAGUGAAAUUGAACUCGCUGUGAAGAUGCAGUGUACCCGCGGCAAGACGGAAAGACCCCGUGAACCUUUACUAUAGCUUGACACUGAACAUUGAGCCUUGAUGUGUAGGAUAGGUGGGAGGCUUUGAAGCGUGGACGCCAGUCUGCGUGGAGCCAUCCUUGAAAUACCACCCUUUAAUGUUUGAUGUUCUAACUCGGCCCCAUAAUCUGGGGUGAGGACAGUGUCUGGUGGGUAGUUUGACUGGGGCGGUCUCCUCCCAAAGAGUAACGGAGGAGCACGAAGGUUAGCUAAUCACGGUCGGACAUCGUGAGGUUAGUGCAAAGGCAUAAGCUAGCUUGACUGCGAGAGUGACGGCUCGAGCAGGUACGAAAGUAGGUCUUAGUGAUCCGGUGGUUCUGAAUGGAAGGGCCAUCGCUCAACGGAUAAAAGGUACUCCGGGGAUAACAGGCUGAUACCGCCCAAGAGUUCAUAUCGACGGCGGUGUUUGGCACCUCGAUGUCGGCUCAUCACAUCCUGGGGCUGAAGUAGGUCCCAAGGGUAUGGCUGUUCGCCAUUUAAAGUGGUACGCGAGCUGGGUUUAGAACGUCGUGAGACAGUUCGGUCCCUAUCUGCCGUGGGCGUUGGAAGAUUGAGAGGGGUUGCUCCUAGUACGAGAGGACCGGAGUGAACGCACCACUGGUGUUCGGGUUGUCAUGCCAAUGGCAUUGCCCGGUAGCUAAGUGCGGAAAAGAUAAGCGCUGAAAGCAUCUAAGCGCGAAACUUGCCUCAAGAUGAGUCUUCCCUGGGCCUUUAAGGCCCCUGAAGGAACGUUUAAGACUAAGACGUUGAUAGGCUGGGUGUGUAAGUGCAGCGAUGCAUUGAGCUAACCAGUACUAAUGAUCCGUGAGGCUUAACCUUACAACACCGAAGGUGUUU